CACGGAGUUAGCCGAUCCUUAUUCCUUCGGUACAUUCAGCUUCCUACACGUAGAAAGGUUUAUUCCCGAAUAAAAGCAGUUUACAACCCGGAGGGCUGUCUUCCUGCACGCGGCAUGGCUGGUUCAGGCUUGCGCCCAUUGACCAAUAUUCCUUACUGCUGCCUCCCGUAGGAGUCUGGUCCGUGUCUCAGUACCAGUGUGGGGGGCCAUCCUCUCAGAUCCCCUAGCCAUCGCGGUCUUGGUGGGCCGUUACCCCGCAACUAACUAAUGGCACGCAUGCCCAUCCAAACCCCAUGAAUGUUUGACCAUUGCACGAUGCCGUGCUGUGGUUUUAUGCGGUAUUAAUCCGGAUUUCUCCGGGCUAUCCCCCUGGUUUGGGCAGGUUGCAUACGCGUUACGCACCCGUGCGCCGGUCUCUGGCCAGCAAGCUGGCCAUACCCCUCGACUUGCAUGUAUUAGGCCUGCCGCUAGCGUUCAUCCCUGCGACGAGACUACAACUACUCUAC
rnacentral:rRNA from 1 species